UACAGAGGGUGCGAGCGUUAAUCGGAAUUACUGGGCGUAAAGCGUGCGUAGACGGUUAUUUAAGUCGGGUGUGAAAGCCCCGGGCUCAACCUGGGAAUUGCAUUCGAGACUGAAUAGCUAGGGUACGGUAGAGGGAAGCGGAAUUUCCGGUGUAGCGGUGAAAUGCGUAGAUAUCGGAAGGAACAUCAGUGGCGAAAGCGGCUUCCUGGACCAGUACCGACGUCAGGCACGAAAGCGUGGGGAGCAAACAGGAAUUAGAAACCCCUGG
rnacentral:rRNA from 1 species